AAAUAACUAAAAACACACACAGAGAUAUUAAUGUCUAAACCACUGCAGCACACUAGAGGUCAGCGCUGUGACGUCACUCAGAGUUCCGUGGAAAGAACGUCGGUCCCCCGCAGCCAUGACAACAGAACGGAACGCGCGAUGACAUCACAGCCUGUGCGGUGUGUAAUAUGAGGUCAUCAGGAGGAGGAGAUCAGACGCGUUUAGAGAGCAGAGGAGAGAUCGUGGUUUCUUGAGUUUCUUGAGCAGUAGCUUUUUAUCAGAACCGAGUUUUUUGAGUUAUCUAGAACCUUUUAACAAACUUUACAUCCGGUUCCUUUAAAAGAAGUGCGUUCAAAAGCAGACCGGAGCAUGGACGGCAUACUCUCCCGACUGAGGUUCUUCUCCUCCAGGAGCGAGAGCAGAAACCUGGAGAGAUGGAGGCGAGAGGAGAGGUGGAGAGAGGAGGAGAAACUCCAGCAGAUCCACAGAGAGAUCAAAGAGGCGGAGAGGAGGAUGAAGAAGAUGCAGAGGAAGAUAGACGAGAAGAAGAAGGAGGAGAAUAGGAUGAACCUUCAGGUAAAGAAGAGAAGGAGAAAACAGGGGCGGGGCAUGCCGAUGGAGGAGGAGGAGCUUCACCUGAAGGAGCAGAGAGAGGGGGAGGAGCUUCUUCAGCUCAGGAAGCUGAUGGAGGAGCUUCACCUGAGGGAGCAGAGAGAGAAGGAGGAGCUUCUUCGGCUCAGAAAGCUGAUGGAGGAGGAGCUUCACCUGAAGGAGCAGAGAAAGAGGGAGGAGCUUCAACUGAAGAAGCAGAGAAAGAGGGAGGAGCUUUGGCUGGGCUCUAAAAAGGGGGUUCAGGUCCAGCAGAAAUACGUAAGAGACCCUGAGGAGAAGCUGGCAGUGCCCGGUACCCCCUCCACCCGCCUGGCAGAACCCAACGAGCAGCAGAACCAGGCGUUCGACCGAGUGAAAGCCGCCUACCGCGCCUACAUGGAGGCUCUGACACCAGAACCGCUGGAGAACACCAGGAGAACCCUGGACUCCAUCGAGCUGAAGCUGAAGGAGAUCCAGAUCCAGAUCUCUGGGGGACUUGUCCCCGAUCUUGGACCUGUCCCUGUCCCUGGACCUGUCUCUGUCCCUGGACCCGUUGAGCUGACGGUGAGGAAAGAACAGAUCCAGAACACUAAGGAAAGAAAAGAGAAGAGAAAGGCUGUGAGCGCUCGGCCAGAGAAAGAGAAAGAGAGGGAUGAUCUGAGGAGAGAGAUAGAGGAUCUCUGGACCAGAGCGACACACGAGAAAGAAGAAACAAGGGAUAAAGUAGAAGAAGAGAAAGAGAAGGCGAAGCUCGAAGAGCUAGAGGACUCGUUCCACAAGAUGGAACGAGAGAUGGAGAGACUGAGAAAAGAAAUGAAAGAGAAAGAGACGUCUCUACAAGAAGAGCUGGAGAGAAAGAGAGAGCGCGAAAGAGAAGAGACAGAGAGAAAGAGAGAGCGCGAAAGAGAAGAGACGGAGAGAAAGAGAGAGCGCGAAAGAGAAGACAUGGAGAGAAAGAGAGAGCUCGAAAGAGAAGAGAUGGAGAGAAAGAUAGCGGAGAGAGAGAGACAGCUGCAGGAGGAGCUGCAGAAGCGCCGGAGAGAGAUAGAGAUGGAGAGAGAGAGACAGAAAGAGGUGGAGAGAGAGAGACAGGAAAGACAGAGGCAGGCUGAGGAGAGACUAAGAGAGAUGGAGAGAAUGAUGAAAGAGGAGGAGGAAAAGAUCCUAAAAAUAGAGGAGGAGCAAUGGAAGGAGCAGCGCUUGGAGAUGGAGAGAAGGAAGGAGGAAGAAUUGCGAGCGGCGGAGGAGAGGCUCCAGGAGAUGGAGAGAUGGAUGAAAGAGGAGAUGGAGAGAGAGGAGGAGAAACUGAGAGAAAAGGAAAAACAGAUGGAGGAAAUGAUGAAGAGUGAGCAGCAGGAGAAAGAAAGGAGAGAACGAGAGAGGGUGGAGAAACUGGAGCGAGAGAUGGAGGAGAGGAGAAAAGAGAUGGAGCGAGAGAUGAUGAAAAAGAUGGAGGAGGAGGAGAGAUUGGAGCGAGAGAUGGAGGAGAGGAGAAAAGAGAUGGAGCAAGAGAUAAAAAAGAUGGAGGAGGAGGAGGAAUUGAAACGAGAGAUGGAGAAAACAGAAAGGAGAAAAGAGAUGGAGAGAGAGAGGAUGAUGAAAAAGAUGGAGGAGGAGAGAUUGGAGCGAGAGAUGGAGGAGAGGAGAAAAGAGACGGAGCGAGAGAUGAAAAAGAUGGAGGAGGAGGAAUUGAAACGAGAGAUGGAGAAAAGAGAGAGGAGAAAAGAGAUGGAGCGAGAGAGGAUGAUGAAAAAGAUGGAGGAGGAAGAGGAGGAGAAACUGAGGCGAGAGAUGGAGGCGAGGAGAAAAGAGAUGGAGAGAAGGAUGGAGGAAACCAUUAAGAUGGAGGAGAUGAAGGCGACAGUAGAAAGAGAAGAAGAAGAUGCUGAUGAAGAAAUGGAGGUACAGACAGAGGAGAAAGAGGAGUCUGAGCAGAAGGAAAUUGAUGGAGUGAUGGAUGUGGUGGAGGAGGUGAAGAAAGAGAGGAUGGAGAGAGAGAAGGAGGUGGAGAAGCUCCAGGAAGCGAGGGUGGAGCACAUGAUGAAAGAGAAGCAGAGGAAGAAGGAGCGAAUGAGGAAGAUGUUUGCUCCGGAUGGACUCAUCUUCCGCCCGCAGAACGAUGGCGGUCGCUGUGGCGCCCAAAAGAAGCGGGAGAACCUCCUAAAGACCUCGUCAUCCACCGACGAAGAGGAGGAGAAGAAGGAUGAGGAGAAGAAAGAGGUACAGCAGCAGGAGCCUGAGAAACCUCCACCUUCCUACUGGCCCGUUUCCACCAACGGAAAACCGGUGGUCAUCACGGUCCAGCCCCUUCACCCUGUUCCUGAAGAGGACAUCAGCUCCACCUUGGAGGAGCCUGUUCUCCUAGAACAACCAGAAGAACCACCCGAAGAAUCACCUAGGCAACCGUCUCUAAGCGGAUCAGGGCUACCAUCGUCCCAACCCAGCGAUCUGGAACCUGCUCCUUCUGAUGCUGGAGAUGAUCCUUACCUGACGAAGGAGAGGAAAGGUGUGGUGAACUGGCUCAACAAGAAGCUCCAGGAUCGCCACGAGCGACUGAUGGAGAAAAGCAUCAAAAAGGAGAAGAAGUACGGCCACAGACUUCGCCUACACCCAACUCCCACUGAUAACAGGUUCCUCCCCGUCUCCGAGAUCGAGCAGAUGAAGAGGGAGGAGAUGCAGAAGAGCGAGAGGAGGAGGCAGGCCCUGGUGAAUAAGUGGAACAUGUGGGAGGAUAAAAGAAAGGAGAGGAAAGCAGAGAAGAAAGAAAAGAAGGAGGAGAAGAAGAAGCUGAAGGAGGAGGAGAGGAGGAGUCCUGAGAAUAUAGAGAAAAGGAGGAAGGCGAUGGAGGCCACGGGGAAUAUGUGUCCCCGUACAAGUAGACCUGAGGCCGGACUCUGAGAGGGGGGUGGAUUCAGACCAGAAGCAAGACCAGUGACCUCAGCAUCUUCUCAAGAACACAAGAUCAUCUCUAUUUCUGUAAAUACUCGUAUAUUGUAAAUAAAAUCUGACAAAAAUCAAUCCGAGGUGUAAA
rnacentral:lncRNA from 1 species